AUUGAACGCUGGCGGCAGGCCUAACACAUGCAAGUCGAACGAGUGGCGGACGGGUGAGUAAUGUCUGGGAAACUGCCUGAUGGCGGGGGAUAACUACUGGAAACGGUAGCUAAUACCGCAUACCAUCGAAUGUGCCCAGAUGGGAUUAGCUAGUAGGUGGGGUAACGGCUCACCUAGGCAACGAUCCCUAGCUGGUCUGAGAGGUUGACCAGCCACACUGGAACUGAGACACGUUCCAGACUCCUACGGGAGGCAGCAGUGGGGAAUAUUGCGCAAUGGGCGCAAGCCUGAUGCAGCCAUGCCGCGUGGAUGAAGAAGGCCUUCGGGUCGUAAAGUUCUGUCAGCGGGGAGGCGUUACCCGCUCAAGAAGCACCGGCUAACUCCGUGCCAGCAGCCGCGGUAAUUC
rnacentral:rRNA from 1 species